ensembl:lncRNA
CAGGCGGGGACCGCGACACAGAGGCGCUUUCAGGCCCUACCCGGGCUCGCGAGCCCCGCUCCCCUCGCCGGGGCCGCCCGGCUUUGUGCUGUUUAUACCCUGUCCUGCGGAAACCCGAAGACAGCGCUGUUCCGGGCGGCCCAGGCCCGGCGCCACCCUCGCUGGCACACAGUGGGCACGCGGCCCGGCGCUCCCGGGGACCGAGCCCCGGCUGGACUCUGCGGUGGGGCCCUCGGUCGUGGGCUGCUGGUGACUCCAGGACCUCGGGCCCCAGUGCAGGGACACAGGGAGGGCCCCUCCCUACAGAAAGGAGGGAAGGGCGGUGCAGGACGCAGCCAUGCCCACAAAAGGUGGCCUGCGAGACAGUGACAGAGGCGGGGACAUCAGGCAGGAGCAGGAUAAGGUUCAAGCCUGCAAUGGAAGGAGUACGUUUGCAGGUUCGCUGACUCCCGUCACGGAAACAGUGUUCAGGUUUGUUAGAGAUGGAGAUGCAGGAUGCGCUGAAGAGCAGAGCGCAGACUGAGCAGUGAAGCAGUUUUUAUUUCUUCUGUCCUACAUCAUUACCACCAAAAACUAGAAGAAGAAGGAGGGGCAGGGGGUUAAGAAAGGAGGGGAAAUGAAGUCCUCAUCCAGCCAGUGUCCCUGUGGCAUCCUCUACAAAGUACUACUAAUGACAGAGGUGGGAGCUUCGAGGGCAAAUGAGACAGCAUGGAAGAACCACUUACUCAGGAGAGGCAGUACUGAUACCCUGAGAAACCAGUAAGUGUUAACUGUGAUGACCAUAAACAUGCAGAUUGAGCCAGGUGUGGUGGUACAAACCUACAACCUAGCACUCCGGGAGGCUGAGGCAGGAGGACUGCAAGUUCCAGUCCAGUCUCUUGGCAACUUAAUGACAUAGUAAGACAUCAUUGGAAAUUUCAAAAAACAAACAAAUAGGGCUGGGGCUGUAGCUCAUUGUGAAGGCCCUGACUUAGAGUUCCAGUAUCAAAAAAUUUUUUUAAAGUAGGCCAGGAGUGAGCACUGAAGGCUUCUGAGACGGGAAGUAUUAGACUGUGUGUGAGGAAGAUAAGUCCACAGUGACAACUGGAAGGGGACGGUGGGUGGCCCGAGCUACAAACAGAUAGCUAGGGGGCUGCUGGGAAACUCAGGGGGCCUCAGAGCUCAGGAACCGGAAGUGCUGCCCUCAGGGCUGAGAGAGGCAGGAGAGUGGAUGGCCAGAGAUCUGAGACCCACCAGGGGGGAGCAGAGACAAGCCAGGAGGAAGGUGGGGGCUGGGCGUGAUGGUGCAUCCCUGUAAUCCCAGGACUCGGAAAGCUGAGGCAGGAGGAUUGCCACAAAUUUGAGGCUAACUUGGGCUACAUAAUGAAUUCAAGGCCAGCCUGAAUUUCAUAGUGAGACGCUGUCUCAAAAACAAAACAUCAAAAAGGCAGGGUCAGCCAGGGAUUUAGCUCAGUGGUUUUGCCGCCUGCUGCGGAAGUGCAAGGACCCAAGUUCGAUCCCCCGUACAAAAAAAAAAAAAAGGCAGGGUCCUGCUAUUUGGUUUACGCUGGCUUUGAACUCACAGUGAUCCUCCUGCCCUUAGCCUCCUGAGGGCUGGAAUUAACAGGCAUGCACCACCAUGCCCAGCAAGACUGUCUCAAAACAAAACAAAGCAAAACAAAACAACAAAAAAGGAGGUGGGAAGCCCCUGGGUGCAUACACUGGGCUCAGCUGAGGACUCUCCCAUAAAGGUGACAAUCACCGUGAGUCAGAAGAGGCAGGACUGGUAAUAAAAGUGCCACUUACUGAGUGCUACGUGCCCGACACACUCAGCAAGCCCUUACACGCACUGAGUUAUGCAGAAACCCUAGGAGGCGGUCCUAUCAUGGUCCCUCUUCCCGAGUUCCAUUCGGGCUGAAGGGGGACUGGGAUUUGGCUGUGGCUGGUGUUUGCCUCAGGCUUGGCUCUGAUUGGCCGGUGUCUGUUCCACUGGUCAAAGUUUUAGACGUUGUCCUGGCUACAAAGCUGGUUGGAGGCUCCCAAACCCAAGCCAGCCGGGAGCCACGCUCCAAACCAGGAUUCCGCAUCCAUCCACCCGUCCAGUACUGGCACCACCCGGAAACAGAAACAGCCCGUCUCGACCUUGCGGGGUGUGGGCUGUGUAAACCGAAGAGCGCUGUAUACAUAGCGACUGUGUUGAGUCCUCCGCGGCAGAAGGGAGAGGAGCCCGGUGAAGCUGGGCCAAGCGGAAAGCGAAGAGGCACUACCGGGGGAACAGGCUUCUCCCUGCUAGGAAGGGAAGUCCCUCAGCCGGACCCUGAUGGCCCCGAGCCUCCCCACUAGCGCUCUCCAGUUAACCCGGGCCUGUCCUCAGGGCCUCCUGCAACUGGCCGCCAGGGGGCGCUACUCCCCCAGGCUUCCUGCCGUCAACC